rnacentral:rRNA from 1 species
CCUACGGGAGGCAGCAGUGGGGAAUAUUGGACAAUGGGGGGAACCCUGAUCCAGCGACGCCGCGUGAGUGAAGAAGUAUUUCGGUAUGUAAAGCUCUAUCAGCAGGGAAGAAAGAAAUGACGGUACCUGACUAAGAAGCCCCGGCUAACUACGUGCCAGCAGCCGCGGUAAGACGUAGGGGGCAAGCGUUAUCCGGCUUUACUGGGUGUAAAGGGAGCGUAGACGGCGAUGCAAGUCUGAAGUGAAAGGCGGGGGCCCAACCCCCGAACUGCUUUGGAAACUGUAGGGCUGGAGUGCAGGAGAGGUAGGUGGAAUUCCUAGUGUAGCGGUGAAAUGCGUAGAUAUUAGGAGGAACACCAGUGGCGAAGGCGGCUUACUGGACUGUAACUGACGGUGAGGCUCGAAAGCGUGGGGAGCAAACAGGAUUAGAUACCCUUGUAGUC